GGGGAUGUAGCUCAGUGGUAGAGCACUUGCCUAGCAAGCACAAGGCCCUGGGUUCAGUCCCCAGCUCCG
rnacentral:tRNA from 1 species